AAACUUAAAGGAAUUGACGGGGCCCGCACAAGCGGUGGAGCAUGUGGUUUAAUUCGAUGCAACGCGAAAACCUUACCACCUUUGACAUGUACGGAACCCUUUAGAGAUAGAGGGGUGCUCGAAAGAGAGCCGUAACACAGGUGCUGCAUGGCUGUCGCCAGCUCGUGUCGUGAGAUGUUGGGUUAAGUCCCGCAACGAGCGCAACCCUUGUCAUUAGUUGCUACAUUCAGUUGGGCACUCUAAUGAGACUGCCGGUGACAAGCCGGAGGAAGGUGGGGAUGACGUCAAGUCCUCAUGGCCCUUAUAGGUGGGGCUACACACGUCAUACAAUGGCUGGUACAAAGGGUUGCCAACCCGCGAGGGGGAGCCAAUCCCAUAAAGCCAGUCGUAGUCCGGAUCGUAGUCUGCAACUCGACUACGUGAAGUCGGAAUCGCUAGUAAUCGUGGAUCAGAAUGUCACGGUGAAUACGUUCCCGGGUCUU
rnacentral:rRNA from 1 species